CCGCUCCAACCAUGGCUCAGUGAGGCUGCGGCUCUCUGCAGGGGAGGAUCGCUGCCGCGGCGGGUCACCAUCACCUCACAGCACCGGACUCUCUUUAGGACACGAGCAGCCUCUGCUGAGGUCGGAAACAAUCCCCGCGAUCGAUCCGUUCCUUCCGUUCCAUUCAUCCCCCGCAAGGAUUUAUUUCUGAGGAUCACGCAGCCCUUAUAAUAAGACAGCGGCGCUGACACGUGCGGAGAAGUUUGUCAAAAGAAAUCUGACGAUCAGGACAACAGCUGGUGGAUUAAAAACAGCGGGUCUUCUUGGAUGUAAACAUGAUUGAACUACAGGGGGGGACUGGUUCUUCUGUCCUGCUGCUGGACAAGCUGGAUGAGUCUCCCGGGAUAUUUUGGGAUCCACGCGUGGUCAGCAGGGAUGAUCUGUGUGGAAAUUCAUAUCAUGUGUAUAAUUUAUGAUUCCUCCCCAUGUCACAAGGAAACAUCACCCAUAUCCUGGAAUAUAUUUUUAAAAGAUGCUAUCAAGAUGCUUCAGUGAUUUGGAUAAUAAGAUUCUCUUGAACAAACAGCAGCGCAUACAGAAGCGAACAGAUGUUUACACGGCUUUCACACAGCCAACAAGAGCAGAUGAUGAGCCGUCAGUCAGACAUCAGCUGGCACAACGUACACGAAGAAGAAUGCGUCCACGGCGAUGGUUCCACCUGUGCUGUCUGUGAUUUCCUGUGGAAUCCACAACCUUGGAAUGAGAUGUCAUCUCUUAAUCGCCUCCCAGGGAUUUUCUGGUUUUGUGACUCACCCAGAUGUGCAGAAUGUUCUGCAACCCAGUGGAUUUACGCCAGAAACGUAUACUGUUACUGCGGUUCAAGCUAAUAAAGCUGACGCAACUCGUACUUUUUUACUGUUGGCACAACUGGUAGCCAAAUGCUGUUAACUAUUUAACUUAACACAGGGAACUUGGACAAGCUUUAUGGGUUGGUGUUUGUUGUGGUACCCUUAAAACACAUUUCUUAUCCUCAAAAUGGCAUCUUUACACAAAUCUUGUGAUUACUCUUCUUUUCAAGGCCAUCGGCUCUGUGCUGCAGCCCACAGUAGUCUGUUUGCUUAGCGACUCUUUUCACCCCCCCCGCACUGGUAGCCUCUGUUCUGUUUGGUCCUCCCUCAACCAACCAGUUUGUGCUUGUCAUUGUGUCACCCCAGGGUGAUGCCACUCUCUCAGCCCCCUUGAGAACCUUCUGCCUCCGCAGCACUCUAUGUUUGCCCAAUCAUUUGAGAUCCGGAUACGGGAAUGAAUUGUUAACUACAGCAGGGCCUCAUCUCCGUGCGUGAAGAGCAAGGAUGAAGGUCCAUUCGAACCGUCUGGCUUGUCCACAGCGCUCCACUAAGCUUUUAUCUCAGCGUCUGGUUGCAGCUCCAUCCGGACCUGACUGACUCCCAGCAAGUGCACAAUCCUGAGACCUGUGGCAUAAAUAAAGAUAAUGCUGUUUGGAAUAAUAACAGUCAAUUCCACCCAAGAGACACAAGCGUGGCGGAAUACAAAAGAAACCAAGAUGAAAGGCUGAUAGAUGAUCCCAGGUGAACACUGAGAUAGGGCUGAGUAAUGGAAACACAAUCUCAACAGUGUACAAAGGAUUCCACCGAAUCCUGGUUUGGAUCAUGGACCGGAUUCUCCAGCAGCAGAUUUUUCUUUUUUUAUUGUUUUUUUUUUUUUUUUUUGCCAUGACUCAGUUCCAUCCCUGAAAAUAUACUGUAGAUCUGAGAUCUGAGCCAGGAGUCUGAAGUUGGAAAAGCUUUGACGUACACUCAGCAGCACAGUGGAGUGUUUUCUGCUUCAUGAAACGCAUCGAUCAACGUCUGGAUACACAAUAAGUGAAAAAGUCAAUGUGAUGAAUGCACUUGUAUCACAGUUACCUCAAUCAUUUAGACAUUGUUUGUCUUUUUGGUCUGGGCUGAACUUGGAUGAAUAGUUUUGCUUUAGGUUUUCAGCCCUUCACUAUGUUGUUACCCCUAAUUUGUGACCAUUACUAAAAAAAAGAUUUUAUGUUUUUGUCACCUGUGCACCAACGUGUGUUGAAAGAGCAAUACUAGGCUUUCUAUUUAAUAAAUUUUAAUAUACUUGUGAUCAAGAUACCAAAAAAGUUUAUCUAAUUAAAUAGAAAUGUGAUUUCUGUUUUUUUUUCCCAGAAAAUAUUCACAAAGAAGCCAUUGUUAAAACUUUUGAAUGUAAACCAGAAACACUACCUACAAUCCUUUGUGACACAUUGGCAGCCCUUUGGUAAUGGCGGCUAAUAAUCCUGUCAUCCUUCACUGUGUAUUCUGAUCAUAAUUUAUAUCUCAGUGAAUUGUUAUGUCUGAUAAAACCUGUUAACAAGAAUAAUAAAAGUGGAUCUGAGCU